GCAGGAGUUGAGGCUGUUGUCAAUUUUGCCAACCUAGGAUCGAUUCGCUUUUCCGUCGGCCGUUGUCAAUUCGGUCUAGUGCUCCUUUGAGACUUGCUUGUUUUUUUUUCCUUUCUUCUUGGAAUAGAUUGCUAGUUUUCUGUGUUCGAGAUCUUGAUUAAUUUUUAGCAUUUUUUGCUUGUCGAAUCGUGAUGCACUAUGAACUCAUCUUUGGCAAAUUGAUGCUUAUGUAUGUGAUGUACGUGAUACCAGUUCCAUCAAUCUUUUCUUGUAUAUAUGUGUAGCAAAUUGAUGAAAUAAUACUCAUAUUAGGUAAGGUUGACAGAAGUUUAGACCAAGCGUAGUACAGACAUUUCAAUAGGCAACUCACACAAUGCAAAAGCUAAAAAGAACUGGAAUGUAAUUUUUCCCGAACUUCUUCCCACCACAGUUUCUAUGGGUAGAGAAGUUAAAACUGUUUCUGGAGAAGCCGAAGCCGAAAAGAUCUGGCCCAUUGUUUCCCUUUCCGCAGCGGCCGUUGGGCGCACCAACAGGCUACAGCCGCGUUGUGUCUACCAUGACAAGCACAUGCUUCCCAUUUUUUCCUUUUUUUUCCAGAUUCAGAACAAAAAAUAAGCAUAAGCUAUUCAUUUAUAAUGUUAAAUACGGACUAGGAUACAAGUAAUGUGGCAAGUAAGGGUGUGUUCGGAUGUCCUCUGGCUUCCAGCUUCCCAAAACUCCACCGUGGAGCAGCGCCGAACACUCUAACUCCAAGAAGCUAGAUCCGGGAAGCCAGUCAAAUUUGCUAUACAAAACUCGGAGCACCUCUUUUGGAAAUUCCUGGAGUAGCAAAACACGGAGC
rnacentral:lncRNA from 1 species